rnacentral:rRNA from 1 species
UCCGUAGGCGGACUAAUAAGUCAGGGGUGAAAUACCACAGCUCAACUGUGGAACUGCCUUUGAUACUGUUAGUCUUGAAUUAUAUGGAAGUAGAUAGAAUGUGUAGUGUAGCGGUGAAAUGCUUAGAGAUUACACAGAAUACCGAUUGCGAAGGCAGUCUACUACGUAUAUAUUGACGCUAAUGGACGAAAGCGUGGGGAGCGAACAGGAUUAGAUACCCUGGUAGUCC